UACAGAGGGGGCAAGCGUUGUUCGGAAUUACUGGGCGUAAAGCGCACGUAGGCGGACUUUCAAGUCAGGGGUGAAAUCCCGGGGCUCAACCUCGGAAUUGCCUUUGAUACUGUAAGUCUCGAGUCCGGAAGAGGUGGGUGGAAUUCCUAGUGUAGAGGUGAAAUUCGUAGAUAUUCGGAAGAACACCAGUGGCGAAGGCGGCUCACUGGCUCAUACUGGACGCUGAGGUGCGAAAGCGUGGGGAGCAAACAGG
rnacentral:rRNA from 1 species